rnacentral:tRNA from 1 species
GCCUGGGUGGCUCAGUUGGUUGGGCGUCUGACUUCGGCUCAGGUCAUGAUCUCACAGUCUGUGAGUUCAAGCCCCGCAUUGGGCU